AGAGUUUGAUCCUGGCUCAGAGCGAACGCUGGCGGCAGGCUUAACACAUGCAAGUCGAACGGGCACUUCGGUGCUAGUGGCAGACGGGUGAGUAACACGUGGGAACGUACCUUUCGGUUCGGAAUAACUCAGGGAAACUUGAACUAAUACCGGAUACGCCCUUCGGGGGAAAGAUUUAUCGCCGAUAGAUCGGCCCGCGUCUGAUUAGCUAGUUGGUGAGGUAAUGGCUCACCAAGGCGACGAUCAGUAGCUGGUCUGAGAGGAUGAUCAGCCACAUUGGGACUGAGACACGGCCCAAACUCCUACGGGAGGCAGCAGUGGGGAAUAUUGGACAAUGGGCGCAAGCCUGAUCCAGCCAUGCCGCGUGAGUGAUGAAGGCCUUAGGGUUGUAAAGCUCUUUUGUCCGGGAAGAUAAUGACUGUACCGGAAGAAUAAGCCCCGGCUAACUUCGUGCCAGCCGCCGCGGUAAUAC
rnacentral:rRNA from 1 species